rnacentral:rRNA from 1 species
UACGAAGGGGGCUAGCGUUGUUCGGAAUGACUGGGCGUAAAGGGCGCGUAGGCGGCGCAUCAAGUCGGGCGUGAAAGCCCCGGGCUCAACCUGGGAACUGCGUUCGAGACUGGUGUGCUGGAGUUCGGGAGAGGAGAGUGGAAUUCCCAGUGUAGAGGUGAAAUUCGUAGAUAUUGGGAAGAACACCAAUGGCGAAGGCAGCUCUCUGGACCGAUACUGACGCUGAGGCGCGAAAGCGUGGGGAGCAAACAGG